UUUCAGUUCUGUAGUGGCAUCCAUUUAGUACCAAAGUCCAUUUAUAUAUAUUAUUAAAAAGAGUGCACUAUGCUUCUCUCAGAAGUUUGAAGAUGGUAGGCAACAGCCAGCUUUUCAUGGAGCAGAUAGAUGUCCAUUUCCAUAUAUAUAUAUAUAUAUAUAUAAGAUAAAUGAUAAAGAUGGAAUUGGUGCUUUAUCCAUUGUGUUAGUCUUAAUAGCGGUGUAUUAUGAUGGAGAAGAAGAUGACAUGUCAAAUCAGCCGCCUUCGGAGACGAGAAUGGGAAAGUUAAUGUGAGAAACCUGAAACAGGUGAUGGUUUCUUCUCCAUUCGUGCUCUCAGGAUCUGCAUUUGCUAGUAAAAAGCUUGGAUCGUUCAUGACACCGAGGAACAACUUUUUGACGACAUCUUCUACCGACGAAAGCUCGCGGAAGCUACAUAGAGUCGAGCAACAGUUAACCUUAGAAUCUGCUCUGCAACAUUGAUUUUAUAGUACCACUACAACUUGUACAGCGACUCGACAGUAACGAAAGGCAACGCAAACGCACGCCAAAAAGGCAGGAGGAGAUGAGAGAUGAGUCCCCCCACUGGCACGUCUCCACUCUACUUUGGCGGGCUUGUCGUCUUCGUUCUCGUCGCCAAAUCUGCUUGGGUGGGCCCGGCGGCGUCACAUUCUCAAGGCAGCACCAUAAAGCACGAGAUAGAAACUCGAGCCGUGCCAACCUCUUCUUCCACGAGCUCUCCUUCCUCCCUGCUUCCUCGGCGGUCCCAUCCCCAUCAAGCCACCCCGCCUCUUCUUUAAGUGUCAACCUUGCUUACCGCAAAACCUUCCACCGGUUCUUCCGUCUAAGCUUGCCGGGGUCGAGGAGCAGCAGCGAUGAGCCUGGAAAUCGAGAGAGCCGCCUCCUUUCUCGCUGACCUGGAAAUGGGGUCGGUGCUGGCGGCGGAGCCUUCCCCGGCCGGCGCUGCCCCGGCGCUGGUGCUGUCGAGCUCGAUGGACAAGAAGAAAAAGAAGUACGUGAAGCAGGUGACGGGGAGGCACAACGACACGGAGCUCCAUCUCGCGGCGCGGCGCGGUGAUCUGGCCGCCGUGAGGCGGAUCCUCGGCGACGUCGUUGCCCAGGUCGCGGGAAUGACCUCGGAGGUGACGGAGUUGGAAGCGGUGACCGCGGAGAUGGUGUCGGCUGUGGUCAACGAGACCAACGAGUUCGGGGAGACGGCGCUCAUCACGGCCGCCGAGAAGGGGCACCUUAGCGUGGUAGCGGAGCUGCUCCAGUAUUCAGAUAAGGAGAACAUCUCGAGGAAGAACCGAUCAGGGUUCGAUGCUUUCCAUGUGGCGGUGAAAGAAGGACAUCGAGGUGAAAGCCUUUCAUCUUCUGCGCUGCCUCUUCGGCCUCCUUUUUCUUCUUCCCUCUUGCUGACUCUUUUCACACAGACAUCGUGCAGUUACUUCUCGGCCAUGACCCAACACUCGGCAAGACGUUUGGCCCCUCAAACGUGACGCCGCUUAUAUCUGCGUCGGCGAGGGGCCACACCGAAGUGAUCAAGCAGCUCCUCGCUCAGAAUUUUAGCAUGGUGGAGGUGGCCAAACGCAACGGGAAGAACGCUUUGCAUUUUGCUGCCAGGCACGGCCAUGUCGAAGCAGUGAAAGCAUUGCUAGAUAAAGAUCCACAACUAGCGCGAAGGACAGACGUCAAAGGCCAGACUGCACUGCACAUGGCCGCCAAAGGAACAAACCAUGAUGUGAUCAAAGCACUCGUGGAUUCUGAUCCCGCCAUCGUUAUGUUGCCUGACAAAAACGGGAACACCGCCUUACAUGUGGCGACGAGAAAGAAGCGUGCAGAGGUAGAACCGACAUCCGAUCGUUUCUGCAUCGAAUAAGCCUUUCUUAUAUCUGAUCGUUCUUCGUUUGUCUUUCCAGAUAGUGAAUCUGCUGUUGCUUCUCCCGGACACGCAUGUCAACGCACUGACAAGAGACCACAGAACUGCGUAUGAUAUCGCGGAAGAGUUGCCUCUCUCCGAGGAGUCAACGUACAUCAAAGAGUGUUUGUCUCGCUACGGUGCGCUGCGGGCAAAAGAGUUAAACCAGCCUCGAGAUGAGCUUCGGAAAACGGUGACGGAGAUCAAGAAACACGUGCACACGCAGCUUGAGCAGACCAGGAAGACGAACAAGAACGUUUAUGGGAUCGCGAAGGAGCUGCGGAAACUACACAGGGAGGGCAUCAAUAACGCCACCAACUCGGUGACGGUGGUGGCGGUGCUCUUCGCGACCGUGGCGUUCGCAGCCAUAUUCACCGUGCCAGGUGGAAGCGAAGACGACGGGAUCGCGGUCGCCGUCCAUGCCACGGCUUUCAGGGUCUUCUUCAUCUUCAACGCCAUAGCGCUGUUUACGUCGUUGGCGGUGGUGGUGGUGCAGAUCACUCUCGUCAGGAGAGAGACGAAGUCGGAGAGGAGGGUGGUGGAGGUGAUCAACAAGUUGAUGUGGUUGGCCUCGGUGUGCACCACGGUGGCUUUUCUGACCUCCACCUACAUUGUGCUGGGCCGGCGACUGCAGUGGGCGGCGAUACUGGUGACGUUGAUCGGGGGAGUGAUAAUGGCGGGUGUCCUCGGCUCCAUGACCUACUUCGUGGUGAAAUCGAAGCGCAUUCGUAAGAUCAGGAAGAAGGAGAAAUCAUCCAAGAGAAGCGGUUCUACUUCCUGGCAUCACACCUCUGACUUCUCCGAUUCCGAUUUCAAUCCGAUUUAUGCCAUCUAAAGAAGCGUGAAAGGCGUUUGUGGUUGCUUCCAUGUGAUUCUGAAACUGUACAUGAGAGCUCGAUUCAUGUCCCAUUCGUCCCGACGGGUUGCCUCUUGUUCUCGGGUAGCGUGUGCGUCCAAAAGGUUGACUGAGAACCUUGCGACAAGUCAACGAACAUGAUUCUUAAUCAGAUUAAUCUUUGAUUUGUUUACAUUGUUUAUUCCAAGUCCAUCACCGUCCUACAUCUUGUCAUCACAAAUCUUAAUGUUGAUCGAAUUAUCAGAGACUCCUCUUGCCGCUUCCCCUUCCUCGCAGAGGUGCAGACACCUCUUCGGCUUCACCUCCUCCUGCUCGUCGUCGUUCUUCUUCUCGCCUCGAUCUCUUCGUCUAUGGCGAAGAUCGAAAACCUCCCUAUCAUUUCCGUUCCGGAGUAUCUCUGCGCGAGACUUCAAAGAACCUCGCCGUGCUCGCUCUUUUCUGGCAGUUCUACAUCGUGGUGAUUGGGUAUCUGUUCUUGGCAGGAGUCGCGGUUUACGCUCCAAAUAGGAGCGCCUGUUACGAGUACGUACCGAUAUGUUGGUGUGGCCAGCCGAGGAGACAGCGAGCGUUGUCUUCUAUAUCUUCAUGUCUUAUACGUACCAGCAGUACUUUGUUCUCGACGGUGAAGAGGAAGAGGCGGCGGAAACGGUGCUCUGCGAGGAAGAAUCCGAGCUUUGAGUGGCGGUGGAUUGGAUUCUUUGUCAUGCGUACUUCCUGAUAUAAAUUGUUCAAAUUAAAAAAAAAUUCAAAAGAUUUAUUUGAAAAGAUGAUUUUUUUAGUUAUUUUGAUAAUUAUUUUUGAAAGGUCGAAUCUUUUAUGAAAAUACCUAUAAAUAAAUAUUUGAGAGUAAAUUAUGAACAUAUCUUUUUCAUAUUCUUUUUCUUUCUUAAUAACUCUCCAAGUGAUUUUGAAUUAGACAUUCUCUCAUUCUUCUUUGAUAAUUUUUUAUUGUUUGCUUAAACUCAUAAUGAUCUUGUUGAGAAGAUGAUGCAAAUAUUAUUUUUAGGAAAGUGUUUAUACAUGUUUCAAGUUUAAAUAUAUUUUCUAUAGUAUUCUUGAUCUUAUGUUUGUUAUUUGUUUCCAUAUUGUUUUCAUCAUCUUCUUUGUUAUAUUUUCCAACAGAAUCUUGAUUGUUCUUCGAGAUGCAAAUGGCAUGGGCAAUAUCAUGGAUGACAUCGAUACGUAUUCUUGUAUGCACGGAUCAUAAUAUUUGGGCUUAAUCUGUAGAUUUUUCAUGUCCCUGAGGAGGAGAGAAAAUGCGAGUUGAACAUUACGCAUGUCAUAUUUAUUCAAAUGGUUAGCAUGACUUGGGUAUAAUCAAUAGGUUACAAAUCGCAAUUGGUGGAAGAAAAAAAAACACGGAGAUUUGAAAAAAUUGCACAAAGCCGAUAUAUUUUUAUUUAAAUUAAUUAUUUUAAAAUAUGUUGGUCAAAAUAGUUGGUAAGAAUUUUGAUAAUUCGUCUUAGGAGUUUGAAUUGGAAACUCAUCACUUAUCCCUGUUGAUUGGAAACUCAUCUCUAACUAAAGAAGAGAAUUGAGUGCACCCCACACAUUAAAUAGAAAAUACUUUUUAAUUCGGAUAAUAUAUAUUUUUUUAACCAAAAACAAUUAGGGAUUUCAAACUAUAAAUAGGGAUAUCUCAUAUAACCUAAGCUCUCUUUUCUCUUUCUAAUUCUUCAAAUUCAAUUUUGGAUCAUCUCCUGACAAAACCCUUUGAUUCGUGCUACAGAUUAAUUUCCAAGUGCGAUGAGAUUAGAACAGUGGACUGAUCGUAUCCCAUCAAAUUAGACAAUAACAUCUGUGAACCCAAAGAAUGAUCAUGGAAGCCAUGUUGUCGUUUCAAGAACAAUUCUUUUCGACAGUCAUGCAAGUCUCGAGUUGUAGCUCCAGAAAAUUGUACGGUCUGGAAGGCACAAGUUUGAGGUGGUCUUUGGGAAACAGAGUAUACUAGUUUGGAAGAUUGGAAAGCUCUUUCUUCAAAGUCCUCGAUCGAGCUUGCCAAGUAGGCCGACAAUGAGAGAGAGCUUGUCCCCUUCAACUUCUUUGACAGUAGCAGGCGACACGCUUCGUCUCUCUCUCGUUCCUUUUGCCGGGCCUGUCGGAUUUGGUGGAUGUCAUCGUUCGGAGAACAGCCCAGGAUACAUGACAGUAUACUGCCUUCUUCGCUUGGUGUAUUUAUGUACGUAAGAGGCACGAGAUUGGAUAUCCAGUAUGAACUCAUGCCAUGUUGGGAAGAACAGUACAUCAAAACUUCCCACCAUGAGAGUCAACCGUGUUAAUGGGGAGCAUGUUUUGUUGGACGUGACCUUACCGUCGAAGAUGAGUGUGGAAAGCUGAAUCGAAAUAGCGCUCGUGGUGCUCGUGUCUACCACUGAAAACGAGAAGUUGAACGCUUCUUCCCGUGUGGCAGACAACACAUCAGCUUUUCUAUCUUGUCCUUGUUCUUUGGUAGUGCUAAUUAGACGCAAUCGAAAGCUGAAGUUGUCGGUGAGAAGCAGCAGAGGAAGGGAUCGCAGCCAAUCUGCUGCGUGAUUACCCGUCUUCAAAGCAUCCACCUGACAGUUCUCACCGAGCAUGUCUGUUCUGUCUGGGUUUACCUUGUGUAUGCUUUGACCUUGCUCGCUCUUCAUCUUCUUCCUGUCCUCUUUAACUACAGUCAAGCUUGUACGUAUGUGGGCAAAUCAUGCAGACCUCAAGUCAAAGAGUUGAAUGGUCUAAAGUCUUGUUUGUUGCAGAUGUCCCCACUUGUAGAAGGAGAAAGGAAGCCGAUUCCUUCGGACCGCUGCCUUUAUAUGCCACUCUCUCUUCCACCACCACCUCAGCUGUUUCUCGCAUCAUCUCGCUGCGGAACUCUGUCGUUGCCCUGCUUGGAGCAAUGGACCGUCGGUCGUCGAAGGAAAGGAGGCCGCCGCCGAAACGAGGUCAGGUGAAAGCUCGUAUCUUUAAGAUCUUGAUUCGGUUCGUCAGUGCAAUCACUUCGGGGAGGAAAGGAGAAGGCUCAUUGCGACAAGGUAGUGACUCAUCCUCCACCUCUCCGGUUCGCGAUAGGCACAGCCAUGAUGAUGCCAAAGACAUUGAGGCUCAAACUUAGCUUUAGGCCUUUGAUGAGAUGAGGGCAACGUAGCCAUGAAAACCAAGUCUAUGAAGGAUGUCCAGCUUGGAUAUCAAUGAUAAGAUGUAUUAGCCGAAUCAGAAUAGAGUGAAUCAUUGUAGUCAACUAAAAUAAAGAAAGAAAAAGGUGAACCUUGGCGUCUAGGAAGCUGUCAUCAUGGCCAUGAAUUGUCAUAGCACUGUGACCCUACAGCAGACAGAUCAAACAGGAAGAAGAAGAAUGAACUCCACAAAGGCUACAAGUGCAACAGCAUAGGCAGAUGCAGCGAGGGCGAUGCCACAGGUGUCGGUCUGACCAAUCACCAUCCAUCGCUUCAUGGGAAAAGCCUCUGUUAGCGUACGUACCAUAUUCCACAAUACAACAGUCCACCUGCUUGUGUGUGUAUGUGUAAAGCUAAUGAGACGACAGUCCACAAUAGCCUCCCUUGUUUGUUUUCGCUCUCUAGGCUUAGUCUGUUCUGCGAUUGUACACCGGACAAAAGAACUCUGCUUUCCAUGCCACAGAAGAAAAAGAAGAAAGUAACAAAAGAUGAUGCCUAGCAGUGAUCCUAAUUAAACAGCCUACCAAAAUUAGUCAGACGCAGUGCGGUCCUAUUAUUUAUUUGUCCUUUGCAUUUGGGGAACAGUUCUAAUUCUUUCUCUAUUGCUCUCUAAAUUGAGUGUGCUCUUUAUGCACACAGGACUUUGGCAGACAAAGAAGUACAAAGUCAUGACCCAGUAAUCCUCGGAAGGGAAACCCUCGCCAGGGAAAAGUCACGUUAUCUAUCGUAAGUCUUACACAUCACACAGCUGGAAGCCAAUGACAGGGGGCAAGAAACUAGGAAGGAAAGAGGAGCACAGCUUUCUACGACCCCACGCCACGAGCAGCAGAACGAGGUACAGUCGUAGUGGAGAGAAUAGGCAUUCCUCGUAGAUAAGCGAGGCAAAGUAGUGUCAGACGGCAAAAGUGAAGCCUACCCAGCGUUUAGCUUUGAUUGCUAUGCCCACCUUUCUCGGAGCCAUGGGAGCUCCUUUUGAUCCGUCGAAUCUAUCACCUGGCACGCAGGAGUAAACGCAUCAUACAUACCCUAUAGCUUAUGCGAGAAUGCAGCAUAACAAAGACUGCAGCGCUAGUGGUGGUGUCUGUGCGUACUCAGUGUCUGAGAAAGUAGCCGGUGCUCGCUGGAGGAGGGAAUGGCAAGUGAUGGGAGAUUGGAGGAGGUGGCGGAGCCGGCAGCGGUGGAAGCGCAGCCACUGUUGUGGCGUUGGAGAAUCCUGAUGAUGCUGCAGACGUGACUAAUGGCAACAGAGUAGGACCAUGCAUGUGCCACGCCCAGCCGGGAAGGGAUCGCAAACCCACCUCGGGCCUCUGCUCUUUCCCUCUUUCCUGUAUCCACGCAAUGCUGUCCGUUAGAUCAUACCAGCAAGCAUGAUGAAGCAAUACACGAAUUUUGAUGAACACGACUAUCAAUAGGAAAAAGAUGAUACUAAAGUAGACCCACUAACUAAUAAUACAAACGCUGGAAGAUGCUAAAGAACGGGCAGCAGCUAGAGACCAUAAGAACAAGUGGGGCACUCCUGUAACGCUCAGGGCAGCAUAUGUGCCUAAAAUGCCAAGGCCCUACAUGUUCUCGUUAUCUAAUAUUAACUAAAAAGUCAUGAAGGUAGUAGAACAAACGUUUGACACAAAAAAAGCUGUUUGGAGUCUACUAUCUAUAAUAGUUGUCAUGCACUAAUGUUGGAAUAGAAUCACCACCAUACCGAUAAAAAGCAUCGGCAAGAAGAGCUAGAGGAAAUGAAUUUUAAGCAAUGUUUAUGUUAAGAGAAGGAAAAAGAGAAUCAGUAGUCAUAUGAACAUACUCCGCGAUUCUAGAGGUAAAAUGGCGAGCAAAAUAAUUAUUAGGUUUUUACCUCAAUUCUGGGAAAGUAGCCUGGGUAAGCAUUCCACAAAUGGGGAUGUUGAGGUGUCAUUGCGAAACCAGGGACAACAGCCGGAUGAUUAGGACUGUCAGGCUGCAACAGCAACCAAAAAUGAAUGGCAUAUCAGUGUCACUGAGCAUCUAAAGAAUGGAUGCAACACCAAAUUAAUCAUAUCAUUGUGGCAGCAUGCCAGAUUAUUUCACAUACAUAAUAGUAUAAUACACAUGCAUUUACGGGAACCCUUGCACAUUGGACGUACAAAACCCAAGAACAAGACUAAAGUUGGAAAAUAGUGCAUCGAUAAUUGUCCUGAAGAUGCUGAUUCCAGAAGAAAAUGAAAUGAAAAUAACAGUUUGUUACUUUAAUGUAUAUUGUAUAUUUUAUAAAAUAAAUUUGCUUGGACGCUAUGGCUUGUGGUAGUGGUUGUUUAUUUCUGCUUUCUUGGAAAUUCACUUAGACAUCUAGUGUACACCAAAAUGAUGCACGAAACAUGUGGCUAAAUAAUAAUCCUAACCGAUCUUCCUUCCGUAAAAACUUUUGCACUUUACAUCCACCAACAUCAGCUUCUAACAUACUAAUCCUUUGCCAUUUACUAAAGGUACUUCAAUUGGACCAUUGGUACCAUAAGAAUUUUCCUUGUGAGGGGACUUCUAAAGGACAUUAUCUAAGAAAUCUGUGAAUGCAACGAAAGUAUUGCUGCUAUAGCAGUGAAGAGGAAUCAGGAUGGGUAAGAAGAACAUCAGUGCGAGAAUAAACAUUUAAAGCAACUGGCUCAUCUAAGGACAAUUUGUAAACUCAACAAAUCAAGACAUAUUCAGAAAUGCAGAUGGUGGAAGACUAUUUACCUGAGCAUUUCCAGUUUCCGGAACUUCAUAUGAGCCGUGACUGAAAUUGGUACCAGUAGAAUUGCCAUCACUCUUUGUGCUAUGGAAGUUAGGCUGAGAAAUCCUCAGGCUUAAAUCAACAUCCUCGAAGGCAGCUAUCAGAACAUGAUAUCAGCAUCAUGUGAAGAUUACCCAUAAUCGACAAAAUGUACAGUGAAAAUAACUUGGGCCAUACAAAACCACCAAGAAUGGUUACUGAUGACACCUUUGUUUUCAGGCUCAGGAAGUCUCUCUCCUUCAUAGAGGCUUGACUCAAAAUUGGUGAUUGCUACCCUUCCAUUCCAUCUGAUAGCAGCCUUGUCAUAUGCCCUAAAGGUCAAAAAGUUAAGUGGAAAAGAAAAAAGGAACGUUAUACAGUUCAUAACUCUCUGAGGUAAACGCUCAUAACAGAAUGUCAUUAUUAAGAAUUGAGAAAGCAGACCUUGCGGCCUCUAUUUCGCUGUCAAAUAAACCAAGAUAAAUAUACCUGCACAGAAAGAAAAUUUGUGUUUAAAUAUAAACACCGAGUUCAAUCUCAUCUUUGAGAAGUAAACAAGUUUUUUAAGGGAUGAGAUGUCUCUUUGUUCAACCUUUGCACCUACUGCUAAUUUUCUUGAGACUACAAAGAACGCAACCACUUCUAUGUAUCUAUAUAGCAUCAUAUAAUUGUUUGAUUGAAACUUCCGCAAACAAAUUGUUUUUCUUUUUAUCUACAAAUAUAUUAAGGGCUAUCAAAGAAUUUCCUCUGAGAAUGACAACUUUGAAUAUCUAACUUUCCUUCCUCAUAUUUCACUUUCAUCCACCACAUUUUUCCCAUUACUUUUCCCGCCCUAAGAGCCAUUCCAUGACACAUUUUACUUCUAAUGCAUAUAAGGUCAAUAACUUGCAGGUGGUUCCUCAAUUUAAAAUAGAAGCAAGGCCUUGAAUUCAAAUACACAAACCACCUAACCGAGAGUAGAUUUUAUGGAUAUGAAACAUAAGUGUAUUCCAGAGCAAGAAAUCAAGAAAUACUACGACAUCACACUUUUUGCCGAGGAACUGUCCCAUGCGAGCCUCCCAUCUACCACACUUGUGAAGAGUCACCCCUCUGUACUUGGAGCUUCCCCUUGCAAACCCAGUGCUUUGACGACGAAGUAUAUGCACAAAUUCUUCCUUGGUCAGGUUUCUCAUCUGAAAUAAUACAACAUAGACAUCCUAAUUUAACCGUACCAUGUCUUUUAAGAGAGACGGAUCACAUCAACACCCACAUAUACCGAGUUCUGGGAUUACCUGGUUCAAAUCCUCGUCGUAAUCAUUAAGAUCAAAGUUGAUGUCUGCAUCAAGUCCCCGAAACUUGAUAGCGGCGCGAUCAUAUGCUCUGCAGUCCAUUUAAUAAAUGCAACACAAUCCUUCCAAACCAUGAACUACUCGAGCAGUAUAUAUACAGGCCAUCAAACAUUUUUCAAGGAGGAAGGGAAAAGAUGUCAAACCUUGCGGCAGCAUGAGCGGUGUCGAAGCCUCCUAAAGUUGCAAUGCAAACAGAGCAAAAGAGUUAAACCCCAAAACAUAAAGAAUUAACAAUCUUUCCUCCGUUUAUGUGAGGAGAGAUGGAACCUUACCCAGGUAGACUUGCUUUCCACAAUCCCUGCGCAGAAUUAGAGGUAGUAAGGAGCACAGCACAUUAAACUAGAACACGAUGGAAAAGAGAAUACGGAUCAGGACGAAGCAUCUGCUAACCAAAUGUGGGAUUCCCAUCUCCCGGUUCUCCUGUAGAAGGUGACUCCGCGAUACUGCGAACUCCGAGACCUCGGUCCUCGCCUACUCUUCUUCACCACCUCCUGCUGCUGCUGCUGCCGAUGCAGCAAAACCCUCGCCUCCGCCUCUGCGGCGCAACCCACCGUCCGCUCCACGAAGCCAAGAUCGCCCGGGCGGGAGGUCGAGCUAGAGUUCGCGGCCACCGGAGGCUGAAACGUGGACGCCACCACCGUCGUAGGAAGCAGCGGCCACGUGACGACGCGCCGCUCCGGCAAAACACCACCCUCAUCCUCACCGUCAUCAUCAACAACAGCCGGCUCGGUGGGGCACCUAAGGUUGUCGAAGCAGAGGGAGGCGGCGCCGCUGGUGGAGCGCAAAUCCUCCUCUUCGGCGGCGGCGCUGCUCGACGCCUCAGAUGAGUUGGAAGCCCAUGCGGCCGACUGACAGGGAGAGACGACAUUUAGAUCAAACUCUAUCUUCGCCUCCAAUCUCUCGUGCGCCAUCGAUGCGACGCUUCGCCGCGUCCGAUUCAAUACGACAAGUUGCAGUAAUCAGAACGGAAUCAGAAGGGAGCGAGCAGCAAACUUCCGAGGAGGAGGAGGAGAUCGACGUGGGAGAGGAUCCGGUCCAUUUGGGGGUUGCUUCUUCUCGGAUGGUGGGAGGCGGAGGAAGAGGGCCGGGAUCGAGACAAAAAGAGGAGUCCUGUGGGGAGCGACGCCGACGUGAGAAUCAGCCCGAGUGGCAUAUAUCAUAUCACUUCCAUAAUAUUACCGUUAUUAUAUUCAAUAUAGCUCUUAAUUAUUUUUUAUAUUUCCGAAUUAACAAAAUGUGAAUUAAUCUUUAUUUUUUUAAUGAUAUAUAUAUAUAAUUUUAUAAUUAAUAUUGGGAUGGAGUCGUCGAUAUUCUGUUUCCUCUUUCCCACGUUGCAUCGCAUGGGCCCAUGUCACGUGCGGCGGCCGCCAGGUGUCCCGUGAGCGCGCGUUUCGUGGCCUGCUCACGUUUCCGUCGUUUGAUGCCAGGAAUAAUGCGUGAUUCUAUAUCAUAAAUCAGUCGAAAAACCCUAAUGGAAGACGAAUCGAUCUCAUAAACCAAUUAGGGGAUUUUCGACUACCUUCUCCGGCGAAAGAGACGUGCCAAGCGAAGGAAAAGACCUUCCAGAGAAGGUCUACUCCCUACCACUGCACUCUUCUUCGGAUAGCCCUGAAAAGACUGUCCCUGACAGAAGAAUGGUUUAGGCAGAGGUUCCCUUGAUUGAGACGAAAAGAGAGCACUGCUUAGAAGAAUCUGAAUCCACAUUCACUAUCGGAGAAUAACGUGUGAUGUCGAAAGUGAUCAGCUACCACCGCAGCUUUAGAUGAAGCAACAAUGGUGACUUCUUAUUCCUUGCUACCGCAUACCGUUGGUCUUCUUCCCUAAUCCUCACAAAAGUACCUUCCGCUUCGGCAAUGUUUCGGUCAAUGGCAUGGCAAUCUGGUAAUCCAGGAAAGAAUCCAAGACAAUGAGAGUGGGGAGAUUGGUUCCGCCAUUGUGUCAAUCGAAGAAAGUAUUGAUGUGGACUGCACGCACUCAGUAGUUUAAUAUUAUGGGGUCGAUUCAAUUCCAUGGCGACUGGUCACAGUGGAAAUGGACUGUGACAUAUUCCGAACCUUUCCAGCGAUCUCUUUCCUUUUGAAUGGGGGUGAUGAAGUGAUCCAUAACUUCUGUUCCGUCAUCAGAAAAAUUCCUCCUCUUUACCUGAUGUGCCUGUCUGCGGGGGCAGGAUCGUACCUCUGAUGGCGUCUGAUACUGUCGUUGUUUGUUGCGUGAAGAACCGAAUUACCGCAGGGCAUGAGCAUACCUCAAUCAUCGUUCUUCUCUGCCUCGGUCAAGUAUGUUGGGUCAAACGACGACGAAGUCGUUGUCUAAGAGCGGGUGACAUCAAGAACCGAAUUACCGCAGGGCAUGAGCAUACCUCAAUCAUCGUUCUUCUCUGCCUCGGUCAAGUAUGUUGGGUCAAACGACGACGAAGUCGUUGUCUAAGAGCGGGUGACGUUAGUAUUAUUGUCUUCUUUGGGCAGAGUAUCGUCCUGGCGUGUCACGUUACCAUUUAUUAUCUCCAUCAUAUGCUAAUUAAUUUAAUUAUCCAAACAUCAUCAUAUUAAUAUUUUAAAUAUAAAAAAAUAUUGUACGUUAUCAGGAAAUCUCAAUCUUUGGUGUGCAGACAGACGUCCAAUUGCGAGGAAGAUAAUAGAAGGACAAGCGUGGACUUGGUAAGAGAAGAAGGCACUGCAGAAGCGGAGGCUCUGAUCGUAAUUAUAUGCAAACAUAUGGGCGGGUUGUUGUUGGUGGGGGGCAUUUCAUUUAAAUGACGGACCCUCGAAACGCAGCGGGCCAAAUUAACGACGAAAUAAAGGCAAACAAAUAGAUUAUAAAUUGAUCCAAAGAACAACGGGGAGGGGGGGUGCAUUCUUGUCCUCGUUGUUUCCCCCUUCUCUCUCCCGAGAAUCCGCGGCGCCUUCGAGUUCGGCGUCUCGAUCCUCCCCCUCUCCAAUCCCUCGAUCUCCCCCGCCCACCCGAAUCAGGUAUAUUAUUUCACACAACUCUCUUGAUUUUAUCUGUUUUCUGCGGUUCUGUUCGUUUUCUUGAAUUUUAUCACCCGCGAUGCUUGUAUCCGAUCAAUCUUGAAAUCUUUAUUCGGAUUUUUUCGGGUUCGUGUUGCGUAGGGGAUGAAGUUUUUGGAUUCGGAUGCAUCUUUAGGGUCGCUUUCUUUUUUGCGGUUGUUUUGGUUGAUCGCAUCGGAGAGAUUUGAACUGGUCUAGGAGAUUUUGCUGGAUUUGUAAGUUGGAUCGUUUUAAUUGUAAGUUUUCUUGAUUUCAGGAUUUUGUUUGUUUUUUCGGAGAUGGAUUUGAUUGAUCGAUGCAAGAAAAAAAAGGGUGUGUUUAGGAUUUAUAGAAGACGGGUUUGUGAUUUAUUUUCUUAUCCGUUGGAUUUGGUAAUCGAUCAACGGAUUGCUCAUUUUGAUGUUUGCUUCGCUAUUAGUCGGCUUGAGAAUUUUGUGUUCCUUGAAGCACGAGGAUGAGUGACGACGGAGAAAGGACUUGCCCUCUGUGCGCGGAGGAGAUGGACCUGACCGACCAGCAGCUGAAGCCUUGCAAGUGUGGGUAUGAGGUACGAUCCCUAUUAUGCAAGAACCAUUCAACUUCUAUUGCUUGCAAGUCCGACACUCCUUUGGAACAUCAAGGAACAUACUGCUUGAUAUGUUUUCGAAAUCUAUAUAUUAUCAUCCAGCCUUGUUCAAAUAUAUGCAUUAUCGUUAAUAAGAAGGAUUGUAGGUUUGAUGCCGUUUGAAUUUUCUUUAAUGUAUAGAUUUGUAUCUGGUGUUGGCAUCAUAUAAUUGAAAUGGCUGAGAAAGAAGACACAGAAGCUCGGUGUCCAGCAUGCCGCACACCAUAUGACAAGGACAGAGUCCUUAAAGCGGCACCUGCCAACUCCGAGAGGUUGCCUAUUGCAUUAUAAUUAUUCUUCUCGCUACAUUUAUCUAUCAAAUCUAUUUAUUCUUUUUUUCCCUCAAACAUACUAAUAGUUUACAAUGAAAUUUUGCUUCACCUGGGGGCAGGAUAAUAGCUGAGAUAUUUUCUGAGAAAAAACAAAGGCCUCAAAGAGCAAAGACCAAGAUAUCAGCAGAAGCUCUGAAGCAUCUUAGCGGUGCCAGAGUGAUGCAAAAGAAUCUUGUAUACAUAACUGGGUUACCUUUUAAUUUAUGUGAUGAAAAUGUAGGUGUAUUGGCAUUUGUACAACUGGGAUCAGUAUAUAUGUAUACAUGGCCUCGUGAUAGGUUUCUCAUGUUUCUACAUCAGAUUCUUGAGCGCAAGGAAUACUUUGGCCAGUAUGGGAAAGUUUUAAAGGUUUCAAUUUCUCGUGCAGCUGGCACUUCUUCGCAGAAAACAUCAACUAACAACACAUUUGGCAUGUAAGUCUCAUCGGACUCAGUUACCAUGUUGUUUACUUUGCUGGGAUGUGAAGACAGAUAUACUACCACCAAAUUGUCUAUAAAUAGAGAAAAUUAAUUGUCAAUACUGUAGACAUCUAUGCUCCAAAUGAUAUCAACAUGCUCCUCCCAGAUUCCUUCUUUGUUUCCCCUCCUUAAUCUUUGAUGGAUAUCACAUUUUGAUGACUAAGUUGGCCUGAAAAUGAUCAGUGGAUAUCGACAAGUUAGUAUUCUCUCCUAGAUAGCUAUACCAUGCUUUACUUCAAUCAGGUGCCCUGUUUAAAAUUACUUUUGGUUAUUUUUUUGUAUUCUUGGGAUGGUUUGACUUAGGGCAUCAGUCCUCACACCUAACAACCUAGGCUUUGGGUGGCCUCUUGACUGAUCUUGGCUUCUUGCAAAACAUUUGUCAUAGUGUUUCAUUUUAGGCGUCUUUUGCCUUCAAGAUAUGUUCUAAUUAUUUUUUUCAGAAGAAUAUGUUAUAUACAGAUCUAGGAUGAGUAAUCUAGGUUUGUGAUAAUGCAGACCAAGCAAAUAGUUAAUAUAUGAGUAAUGAUAUUACUAUUUAAUUUUAAUAAAAUUAUCAGACAAUUAUCAGGCUAUCAUUAAUCUGUGUGUAGAUCAUAAUGUUGUUUUUUUUACAAAACUUGUACAAAAAUUUGGUGUUUGAUCUGAUAUGUGUGUUGAAUUGGACAUGUGGCAUAAGUGAAAAACAACAAACUAAGAGAUAUUCACUAAUUUAAGAGGUGCAUUCAUGAAAUAAGAAUUAUCUUAGCUUUAGGUUUCCAGCAUAUGCUUUUCAUGGUUUCUCCAUCAUGGACUAUGUUUGACUGUUAGACAUGACCUUUGUUGGACAGUUAUGUUACAUAUGCCAAGGAGGAAGAAGCUGUUCGAUGUAUACAAGCUGUACAUAAUUAUGUGUUGGAAGGUAAAUCCUUGAGGUAAGUACAUGAAUUGAAUUUCCAUUUUGCAGACUUGUGCAUAUUAUCAUAUAAACGUCUCUGAUUUUUGGCUUUCACCAGAGCAUGCUUUGGCACCACAAAAUAUUGCCGUGCAUGGUUAAGAAAUAUGGUAAGCAGAUUGCUCAUCCAUGCUCUCCUAUGUUAAUAAGUACAAGGUUUUGCUGUCUACUAGAAUUGCACGCAUUUGUUUGUUUUUAUUGAGGUGUUGUGUUGAUUCAGACCUGCAGCAAUCCCGAUUGUCUGUAUUUGCAUGACAUAGGUAGCCACGGGGAUGGUUUUACAAAAGAUGAGAUGAUUUCAGCUUGUACAAGGUAUUUUUUUUCCACACCUUUUUGCAUGCGGAUGGUGAUUUUUCUGAUUGUUAGUAUGAUCAAAUUUUGACACUCCAUGUUAUAACCAACACAAUCAUAUUGUUGUGCUUCCAUCCAGAAAAUAUUUGAGAAACUUGUUUAGUACUUCGAAUUCUGCCUAGCCAAAAAUUGUCUGGUGAACUUUGUAGGAGUUAUGUAUAUUGUUGGGCUGUAAAUGAUUAAUUUAGUUGUGUUUUUCCUGCAAGCAGUUUCGGGUUGAGGUUCCUGUUGCUGCCCUGAUGGCAGCAUUUGCCUGACACUGCCAUACUAAAUUAAUGCAUAGUGUUUAUCAGAGAUGCUUAGUGGGCACAAACUUGUUGUGCUAUAUCAUUCGGAGUUUGUGACACCUUUGUGGAAUACUGUUGACCAAGGAAUCAAGUAUUGGUUGGACCACAAUGUAUUCCUUUAUGGAGUACUGAUAACCAAGGAAUUAAAGACUAGUUGGACUGGCACAUACUGAUCAAUGUUUACCUGUUGGCGUAUUGGACCAUGUAGAUUGGUUGGUAUUUAUUUAUUUACUAUCUUUUCGAUGAUAUUGGACAAUUUAGCUGGUCCUGCCCAGUGUACUGGUACCAUACUUAUCUGACGAGUAUGGGUCAGCAAGAAUUGGUUUAUUCAUGUUGGGUUCAGCCAAUUCCUGCCAGUUCUGCUGUUAGUCAUUUGGUUUAACAUGGUAACAUUGCAAAUUUGUUUAUCUAAGUCACAAAUUGUGUAGACUCUUUUGUCUAGAUUUGGGUUUGGGUACCAGAAAUAACCUUUUGGAUUAAAGUAAUUGUUGCUGUACUAAUGCAACGUGAUAUUUACUAUAAAAUAUAGAAGUUAGAGUAAUUAUGGGCUUCCAUCUUGGCAUAGUAUGUAGCAGCUAGAUGCAGGCACAAGGUUUCACCUUAGCCAAGGAAUAUUUGAGCCCCAGUUAUUGGUGAUUGGCCAACGGUUUGUGCCUUCAAGGUUUUAAAAGUCGACGGGAUCGAUUUGUAGCAAGGUUCAUAACUUCAUGCACUGGUACUACACUGGUAGGGAUCAGACCGUAUACGACGGGAUUAGGAACCUUGGACUGUACAACCCAGUAAAUAUUUACUAGUACGAUUAAUACCAACACCCAAACCAGACAAUAUCACCGGUCUAGUUCAGAAUCAGUUUAUUUAAUUUUUAUUUGUCUUGACCACAACAAUCAUAUUUUUUUAUUUUUAAUUUCCCCAUGCUCCUUCCUCUCACGCCAUGUGCUUGUUGCCUCACCAUUGCCUGCUGCUUGGCUGUCUCCGGUACUCCUUUGGACCGAAACUUGAAUCCUUGUUGUCUUUUAAUGCGAGAGCUUUAGGAUAUCGCAAUCAUAUUUGCUUAGUGCCAGGUGCAGCAUUCAGACUAAGCUGAGGUGCAUCCCACAUAUCAGACCACACGGAGAGGUUUGUGGACUUGCUCUUUAUCCAAUUAUUCUACAAGUCCAAAACUUGUAUAUAUUAAAAAUGUUCACUUCCUAAUUGUUGAGGUUGACUACUCAAACCAUAUGUUCAGAUAUAAGCUUAUUUGGGUGUCACAGGAAGGAUGCACCUACAUUGUUGAUCAAUGUACAAUCAUUUGCUUGAGUUAAACAUUGUGCAUUUCAGACUAUUUUACAGCAGAUGACAAGUCAACUAUUCUCCAUAAUUUUUUGUCUUUACUUUUGGCAUAUUAUUUUAUGCCCGUAUACUUGUCUUUCUUAUGAUUGACUUUGUUUCACUAAUGGAACUUCAUGAGUAGGGUUCCUCAAAUUACUUCUUCCAGUUCUCAACGACGUUUUGGAAAUGUUUUGCCUCCGCCAAUGGAUGACUUCAACAGCAGAUUAGGCUUGGACAAGCAUCCAGUCAAGAGGACCUGUAUUGUAAGCCCAUAUUUUCCUGAUGCAAAGGACUUUGUGAGAUAGGAUCAGCCACUCUUUACAGUGAUAUUAUGCACAUCAUGCUUUUAUGCCUAGGUCUCAUUCUCCCUCUCUAUAUUGACUUAAUUUUUUUUUUUUAAGAAUUCCUCAAUCCAGGUUAAAGGUUCUUCUAAUAUUAGUGCCGAAAAGUCCAAUGCUUUACCAGCAGCUGCUUCAUGGUAUGUUUGUUUUUGUGCCUUAUCUUGGCAAUGGUCAUUUUUGCUAAUUCUAUGAUCAUAUGCAGGGGACUUCGUGGUUCAAAUUGCCAGAUUUUGGCUUCAAGUAUACAAUGCUCUCGAACACCUGCGAUUCAAAACACACAGGCUAUAAGCAAUUCAUCUUUGCCUUCUUUAUUGACGACAAGCACAAAGCAACCUUCAGCACGGGAUGAUGAAAUGCUUAUAACAUCAAGGGUACCUGAAAGCAAGGAAGAUGUUCAUUCCACGUCCGGGUCCUUGGAACCUUUACGACUUGAUACUCGGGCAGAUUCACCGCUGACUUCAUCUUUAGAGACAGUCAAGAUUGUUGAUUUUUCUUUGAGAUCUUCAUUGAAUGACAAUGCCAUUGUAACAUCAAAGCCAGUGGAACAAAUAAAAAUGGCAGAUUUGGAUGACAGGUCUAGUCCGUUAGUGUCUAUAAGAUCUGACUUUGACAGGCAGCAGCAAACACUUUUAUCAUCAACUCAGGUGGCCCCGGUCAUGAUUGGUACCUCUCAGGUUUCUUCAAGUUGUUUAUCCGACACUCUAGCAGUAGCACUUGAAGACAAGGAAAGAGGUAGUAUUUCAAGUGGUAGUGACUCAGAGCCAAAAAAUGCCACCACUAUUUCUAAAAGUACCGUUAGACAAUUUGGCAACUCCAAUCAUGAUAAAGUUAUUAAUGGUUCUGCUAUUGUCAAUGAUGAUAUGCAGAGCUUUCGCUUAGGAUUUUCUUCAGUUAAUAUAGAUGCCCAUUCUGUGAAAAAUCAGUUAAAUAUUGACCAGCAUCAAACCUCAGUCUCUGAUCUCUGUUCAACUGAGAUGCUCAGCAGUCGAGAUUUAAAUUUGGCCUCUGUUACAUCGAGCAUGAUUAAAUCAAUGGAUUUGAAUUCUGAACCCCUAAAGCAACAAUCAAUCUCUAUAAUGGAUAUGAUGAAGGAUCCCGUGAAAUUGCAGCACACACAGUUUUCACCUUGUGGAGGUCACCCACAAAACAGUACAAGUCAGUCAAAUUCUGCUCCCUGGAGUAUUGGACUUGGAAAUAAACAACCCCCAUUUACUGAUGGUUCUUGGGACAUGGAUAGAAAAAUUGAGGCGGCUAUGUGUUCCAUAGGAGACGACGAAUCUGUAAUACAUGAUGGACACAGCGAAUAUGUUAUAAACUCAAAUUCUUCAAGCAGUAAUGGUUCAGAGUGUCCUGGGUUCAACUGCAUGGAAGAAAAGACGAUACCAGUAGAUAUGAUUGAUAUAAUUAGUAGUAACAAUGAUGCUUGUGUAGAUAAAAAGCAAGAGAGCAGCAUCAUUUCAGAUUUAUUGUCACUAGAUUUUGAUCCAUGGGAUGACUCAUUAUCCUCAGCUAACAAUUUGGCUAGGCUGCGUGGUGAAAUUGAAGAAAACAAUUGUUUAAAAUUAUCAAGUUCAUGGAAAUCCCUAAACAGUGACCAGUCUAGAUUUUCUUUUGCGAGACCAGAAAGUCAAGCAAUCCUUUUAGAACCUGCUAGAGAAAUUAGUGAUGCUCAGAGACUUCAGUCCUCAUCACGAGUUUCACAUAAAGAUGGUUUCCAGAAUCGAGUUCAAUCCAAUGAUUUUGAGGAUGUUGAUCUUUUCAUCGGUAGCAACACUUUGUCUGAUAGGACUACUGGUAAGUAUUUCUUGUUUCUAGUCUCUAUAGCUAUAUCUUUCAUUAUAUGACACAAUAAUAUGUACUUAUUGUGAAAAUUAUUGUAUUAAAGUUUCUUUGGUUCAGCAAUUUUCAUUCCUUCAGUAUCUUUUUUAGAUUACAUCAUGGUUGUUGUUUCUUGACAUUUGGUGUAAAUUCUCUUUGGCUAUUAGGAUUACUUUAUUUUUCUUUGUUCUUUCUAGUAUUUGUUCAACUACAAUCUGUUGAUAUCAUUUAAACAAGUGAUUAGAAUAUUUUUUACUUAACCUUUUCUCUUAUAAUCUAAAAUGUGCCUCUUGUGCCAUCCCUCCUCCCUUUUGUAAGGAAAGUUCUAUGGAAGUAAUUACAUCACAGUUGGUGAGAAUCUUGCUGUUUCGUUUCUAUUCAUCAUGCAUUAUGGCCAUGAUUUGCUAACUUUAAUUGGAUACCCUUUCUAUUCAUUGCCUCAAUCAUUUCAUGAUGUAUGCAUCUCGGGUCAAAAGAGAAUACAAGCGUGACAGAGGCUGCUGGUUUGAACGUACCAGCUACUUGUGCUCAAGGAUAACUAAAGGUUUUUGGCCCAUAUGUGAAUCCAUAAUGUAACACACAUUCACUUAUUACACCAAUAGAAUGUCCUGUCCUAUGCACGAGCUAGAGAACUCUAGUAUAUCUUGAAACAACAUGCUGAAAUGGCUUUUUUGCACCUUUCUGAUCUUCUGAAUGGUUUGUAGUACUUUGCUGCAGCUAAAAUUUGGUGCUUAUUUUUGGUCUCAGCACCAUAGUGGGUGGAUCCAUAUUCUAAUAUAUAGUUGUGAGCAUUGAAUGGGUACUAAAAAUUGACUGUGUUUUGUGUUAGGAGUAUACAUGUUGAGUGUUAUUCAUAUUCUUGUCAUGCAAUGUUCAUAAUGUUUUUGGAGAAAUAGUGCUACCCAUUAACAGUUAAAGUGAAUGGGAUUAUGGGAGAAGAAAAUUGAGGAUAAAUCUGUUUCCAAAGUAGGGCUGUGUAAUUGAACUGAUAAACUUGAUCAAUCCAACUGAACUUAUGCACUUAGAUUUUGUGCAGGUUUUCAUAUUGAGUGUUUCAGUUGAAAGGAUGGAGAAGGAACAACUUUCAGUUUGCAUGGUCUGGGUUUAAGAAAUCACUAUUAACCAAAGUGAACUGAUUGCAUAUAGUCAUAUGUGUAAUCAACUGUGGUAAUAUAAAAUUCAUGCUCAUAAAUAGGGUAUAACACCUAGUAUAUAUAAGAAAUAUAGAUGCAAUGCACCUUUUCCUUAGGAAUUUGAUACUUUAAACUGUAAUACAUAUCUUUAGAAUAUCACCUGUUUUCGAAACUGAAUAAGAAACCAAACUGAAUGAAACAAUUCAGUUUCAGUUUGGCUUGGUUUGUUCCCCUCUAGUUUAGAGAAGCUUAAAUUAGAAAGGAAUGAUAGGAAAGGAGAACUACUAAAGAAUUACUAAAAUGGCCUAUCUAUUAUUAGCUGUUUAGAACUCAAACAGAUCCAUGUCCAAUGUCAAAAGUUGUUGGUUGGAAAAAUGCAGAUCAAAAUAAACAUGACAGAUAUUUGUUCUCAUACACACGUGAGAUUCUAGCCAAUCGACUUUCAGCUCUACUUGGAUCUAAGCUUUUAAAUUGGCCCUACUUGUAUCUUAGUUUAGAUCUGAACUAGUGGAGCUUUACUUUUAAAUUAGCCCUACCCGUCUAAACUUAUUGUCCAAUUAUUAUGUUUUUUCUGCCUUUGAAGUCUACUAGUUCACUGCUUUUCUGUUUCUAUAUGGCAGAAAAUUUACUGAAUAUUAAGGUUUUUGCAUGCACAUUCUAUGUUUCCAGUUAUUUCAGUUAAAAUAUAUAUUUUAAAUCCUAUACUUGUUGGAAGGUGUUUCAAGGGCCAAGAUAACAGCUCCACCUGGAUUCUUGGCUCCAACCAUAUCGUCGCCUCCGGGGUUUUCUUGUCCAGACAGAGGUAACCAGGAACAUGACAUGACCUACUUAGGUUUGUACACUUUGUGAUGCUUGUUUUGAAAACUUUUCACCCUUCUAGAAAAUCAUAUGUUUGGCUGUUUUUUAGGUGGAAAUCAUUAUCGAUCACAUUUAGCUGGAAGUUCAGGUGAUGUGGAGUUCAUUGAUCCGGCGAUAUUGGCUAUUGGUAAGGGACGGAUACAUCUUGAACCAAAUAAUUCAACAUUGGGGUUGAAAUAUUCAUUUCCUGCACAGUUUAGCACCCCCAAUAAUGAUCCAAGGCUUCAUUUAUUGGCUCAGCAAUCAGUUUCUUCUCCUCAGAACCUGGGAAUACCAGAUCAUAUGGGAGAAAGAUUCUUACAGUUGAAUGAUGCAUACAUUGCAUCUCAACUUUUGGCACAAAGCCAUGCUGGUAUUUCUCCAAUUAUGCAGUUGUCAUUCCAGCAUUUGAGAAAUCCACUCUUUUCAAAUAGCCAGUGGGAUGCCUGGAAGAGUGUAUGCCCUGGCAAUAAUAUAGGCAUGAGUGAGAAAUUCAGGAAUGGGAGAUUUGGACUUAAUGACUAUUACACAAGCACUGACGAAAAUAAGUUCCACAUACCAAGUGCAGGUAAUCUGUAUAACCAGGCAUUUGGAAUGUAACGCUGAUCUGUUGCUGUGCUGCUCUGACCUUGUUAUUGUGAAAGUGGAUAUCUGACAAUGGAUGACAGUCAGUUUUACAAUCUGAAAGCUUAAUAUUUGGACAAUUUCCAUCGACAGGUAUGCACAUUUUUACAAUCUGUAUGGAUUAACUGUGGGGAAUGCUAUCUGGUGAAGGUGCUUUAAUAACAUAUCUAUAAACCUGAAAUGUUGUUAAUGUCAGCCAUGUUGUGCUGUUUCAGUCCGAGAGAUCUCUCAACUGCAUAGAAUCUUUGGAAUCUCUAUGAUGCACUUCUUAACUAUAAGGACCUUCCUUAAAAUGCAUGCUAGUUUGAUGGUCAAAUAGCUUAAGAGAAAGACAUUUGGCAUGGAGUUGCAUGUCGCCAUCUUGCUUUUAUCUUCUUGUGUUAAGAUUUGUCUAGCUGUUUUUUGUUUCAGUGGUGUAUUGGUUGACGUUAGCAAGAACUAACUUGUCUAUAAGGUGUCGUUGAAUAUAAUAAUGCACAGUCGCAAACUACUUAUUUUUUAAGACGAGAUGCUGAGCAUGUCUACAGUAUUAAGAAGCAUAAAUAUUAUGAGGUUGGCCAAGUGUAGCAAUGUAGAAAUGAUUUCAUAAUUGGUUGAGAGUUUAGUACACCAAAUUGUUCAUUUUUCAGCCUAGUGUGCAGGGAUUGCACAAUUGUUUUCACAAAGAAACUGGUUUCUACUCCAUUCAACUUGCAUUAGAGAAUAAGAUCAAGAUCUAUUUUGCUGGAGUUUUAUUUUUUGACAUUCAUUUUACUUUUGAAACUUCACAUGGAUUUAUGCCUUAACAGAGGCGACAUAUGUACUCAUAUCAAGUGGACAGCAAAGCUUGUAAGUAUAUCUUGGCCCCUAUCUACUAGAUAUAUACCAGUAAAGGGUUCAUCAAUUUAAGGACAUUUGUUAAAAAUCUCACCAAGGACAUGAUCACGGAGAUAGCUGUCCAUAUGGCAAACAUUAUUGAUUUUUUCGUUUUUUUUCUUUUUUUUGCAUAGUGUAAAGUGGAGAAGGCGGGAUUUGAGUCUAGGACUUUGCGAUUAUUGAAGUUAUUAUUAUGUUCCCAUUUCACAAUUUUAUUUUACUUCAUUAUUAUCGAUCUGCUUUCUAGGAUUGGCUAAAAUUGUUACGUUAGAGUUUCCUUCAUAUCUGCAGAAUUAAAAAGUGUAGUCCAAUGCAAAUGGUAAGUUGGGAAUUUGAUUUUUAAUAUAUAUCACGAAUGAUAUCUGCGGUGGACUGUCACAGGAUUUAAACUAACACUAAAGCGCGUGUAUAUAUCUAUCUAUAUUUAUACACCAAUGAACUCUUUGCAUUUGAACUAGUGUGUAGAAACAGAGCUACACUGCAUGUUUAUGGUUGUGAACCUCAUUUAAAUGGUUGAAUUUUUUUUGUAUUACUAUUUUUUUUUCUGCUUGCUGUCUGUUGUUAUCUAAUUUAUGUGAAGCAUUGAUCUCUUCUUUUCAUAAUGGUUAACCAUGACACUAUAAUGUUUAUGUUGAUUUUGUUUCUGAUUAGCUGAUAGGUGUGUUUUGGUUAUCUUGUAUUGUUUGUUAUUUUUAGCAGUAAAGUAAUGUCUAUGAUAUAUUCCAAGCAGGAACGCAUCAGUUACUGAGCUUAAUUCUUGUGACUAGUUUCUUGAGCGAUGAGGCAUUAGCGAAGGGCUGUCAUCUUGAUGUGUCUUGUUGUGUUUGCUCUGCCUCAGUGGAGGUGUGUCUUGUUGUAUUUGCUCAGACGUGGAGGAUACUGCUGCAUUUGUAUGGGGUUGUUUUGAAGUUUCUGACUCUACCUUGAAGAUCUUCAUGUAAAUACAUGUAUUUUGUUUUUGUUGGCCCAUAUGAUUUAUUGGCCAAAGUAAUUGUAUAGCUGGGAAGAGUGAUUCUCACAUUGCGGUACCUUGGUGCUACUGUUUGAUCAUUUGCAUAAAUCUGUGCUUUGUCUACACAUGGUAAGACCCUUGAAUCACAUGGGAAUUUUCGUUGUGGAUUCGACUUUUCUCCAUUAUGACGCAAGAGGUUGGCAUAGCCACCUUUCCUGAGGUCAUCCAGGAAUCAGUUGUAGGUGGGAUAUAUUCUAAAGCGUGAUGAUGCUGAUUGGAGAAGUAGAACACCCAUCUCCAAGUCAAACCAAACAGGUUUUCAGAGAUCGGGUCCGUUGUUGGUAACGUGGAAGUGAAGGAAAGGUAAUGAGAAUUGUUGGCUUUGAUGUCCGUGUUUGGAUUUUAUUCUUGACCUUUAGAUUGGGAUAAUCUUAUUUUCAUUUCUUUAGAUUUAAUAAUCUAAUUUUCAAUCGAUUUUUUCAGGGAUUAUUUUGUUAGAUGCAAAAAUCAUUCUUCUAAGAUUAUUGCUGCUGCUGUGACGAUUCGAUGAUUAACAGGUUGUGAUGAUAUCAAUGGACUCACAUGGUUUUUUCAUCUUACUAGUGAUCAGUGUUCGCAGCAACAGUCUCUUUUUGUUCGCAACUCAGCACUUGAGCAACAUGUAACUCUUCUUCCUGAACUCAAACCGUUCUUAUAUCAUAUAUAGAGCUUGCUUGUUUUCUAUCAGUCAACAGGAAACAGCAGCUGUUGGCACUGAAGCCAGUCAACAGUGUCUAAUGCUGAAAUGGCUACAAGGUUUUAAGCUGCUGUAGUUUUCGGGAAAAUAACCAGAAAUUGACAUGUUUACACAAGUGUAUAUCCAUUUCCAGCUUCCUCUUGUCAAUGUUCUUUCUUGUGUGGUAGUAUAAUGUCCAAAGUGUUCAACAGUUACCGGAGCCCUGGUCCCAGAAAGAACUCUGGGAAAGUUACAUUCUGCUCUGGAGUAGCCAACUCCCCGGCAUUCGAGUUCAUAGAAUGAUCCGUAGAGUUCUUCGACUGUGGCCCCAUGGUGUGAUCUCCACCCAGCCUUGACCCUCGUUCUACUUCUAUGGCCCCCUGGAUCUCCUUGAGAACCUCCGUUAUUGAUGGUCUUUGUGAUCCAUGAGGAUUGACACACAUGAUGGAGAUCUCUGCAAUUUUCCACACAGACUGCACGUUGUAAUCAUCCCGCAAUGAGGGAUCGAUGAUGGCCUCGAUGUUACCACUCUCCACGUGUGACUUUGCCUGCCAUACGAUAUAGUUCGAUGUGUCAGAGAUUGGCACAUAGUAGCCACCUAGCUGUAAGAACAUGGAGAAAGAUCCAUGCCUUGACAACUGAUAUCGGCAAUAAAAAAAGAAAAAACACAAGAAAAACUGAGCUCAGUUAUAAUAUGAUAGUGACUGACCCAUGCAACAAUGUUACGGCAGUUCAGGCCAAAACUUUCACUGGAAAUUGGCUCUUGCCCUGAGAUCAGCUCAAGAAGAAUUACGCCAAAACUGUAAACAUCGCUCUUCUCUGUUAGUUGCUGUGAGGUAUAGUAUCUGCAUGUGUCUACCGUUAGUGAGUUGGAGUUCUUUCACAGCUAAGCAUUGUUAAAAGUAUCGUAUCAUACGAUAAAGGAGCACAAAUAAUAGUUUUCAAGUAAAAUAAAACUUGAAAACCAGGUUCGCAAAGAGAUUUAAAUUAUUUUCGGAUUGAAAUUACUUAGUGAAGAAAAAUCAAAGGCUUACUCAGGGUCAAGGUAUCCCACUGUUCCUCGAACUAUGCUUGAGAUAUGGGAACCAUCUACUGCAGGUUUGGAGAGACCGAAAUCUGCAACCUUUGCUCUCAUGUGCUUGUCAAGCAGAAUGUUGCUGCUCUUGAGAUCUCUAUGUAUAAUGGUCGGAAAGCAGCCUGUAUGGAGGUACUCGAUUCCUGAUUUGUUUUCAGUCGAAGGGGUCUUUUAGAUUCAACGUAAUGUGAUUGCAGUUUUAAAAUGCAAAAAAUAUUCUUAAUUGGGUUUAUAACCUUUUGCAGCAUCUUCUGCUAUUUCUAAGCGAUUGAUCCAACCGAGAUUCCGUUCAUGAGCCAAAGGUCCUGCAAAAAUUGCACAUGAACUUUUGUAUCGUAAAAGCAUUUAUUCUGAAACAAACAGGGCAGACAUACCACGAAGAUGCUCCUUCAGAGUUCCAUUUUGCAUAAAUUCAUAGACAAGAAUGUUUCUUCCAUCCUGUUGACUGUACCCAAGAAAAGUUACCAGGUUCCUGUGAUGAAUUCUAGAAAGCAAUGUGACCUGAAAGAACAUUGUAGUAACUACAAAUAAGAAUAUUAACAAAAAAGUAUCUUCUGUAUCGUAUAGGCAUGUUUUGCAAAGAACUCAUUAACCAUCUACAUUGAAAAUUCAAAAAGUAUUUUUCUUGACAAUAGCGAUGUAUAUUUGACAGUCAGUAUAAAGAAGUACCUCAUUUAAAAACUCCCGGAUUCCCUGGUAGGAGUCAUUAGUAAGAACUUUGACUGCGAUUUCUUUUCCAUCUACCAUUUUUCCAUAAUAAACUAUUCCAAAUCCUCCAGAACCAAUUCGUCUUUCAAAUUUGCCAGUGGCAUCUUCAAUUUCAGACAAUGUAUAUCGAUGGGCUGUUUCUGCAGAAACUUCACUGAAGAAAGUACCCAACUUCUGAGCAGGUUGGACAUUUGGCACAUCAUCUGAAAAGAAAAAAGAUUUGUAGAUUGUGAAUGUGAUCCUCUUAAUCCUGAUGAUAUAAUAAAGCAAAGGUUUUCCACAUGUACCUUUCGGAAGAUUUUUCCUUGUUUUGCGCAAAAACAAGCAGCAUAUUAUAAUACUCAGAAGGAACAAACAAGCUCCCAGUACAGAAAAAACAAUAAUUAUGACAUGAUACAAGUCUUUGCUUUCCUUGUGGAGGCCUUUGUUUCCGGAGUAGCUAAAUCAGGACAAAACAAAGAACAGAAAUCAGUUCAAAAUUUAUCUAAUGUGAGCAUUUUGCACAAGAAGUUUGAAAAACUAUAUCAAUUAUCAAACAAGGCAAAAAUGAGAAAAAAAAAAAGAUGGACUUCCUGUUGCUUGUGCUUCAGAGUUCUUAGUGCAAUGUUCUAGCAUAAGUUAAAAGUAUCAGGCAUGGCACUGGUCAAUCCAGCAGUGGUCAACCCACUAUAUAUAUACAUACAUAUGUACAUACAUACAGAUACAUACAUACAUAUACAUAUACAUAUACAUAUACAUAUAUAUAUGUAUAUAUAUAUACAUAUAUAUAUAUAUAUGUAAUCAUGGAAAUAAAAUAAUUUUCUUUGCAGUUUUGUCAAUAUGUUGCCUUAUUAUGCCUAAGUGCAGAUUCAUCACCUAAUUUCUAGUCCAUGUUUUGGAAAUAAACUACAAUACUUGCACUGGAUAUCUCAUGUAAUGGAAGAUAUACCCACUUGAGGAUGAUGUUUUUAUUGAGAAGCCCCUUUGGUAUUACUCCAAUCAGAUGAUUAUUCUGCACAUACCUGCAAUGAAUAUUCAUAAAGCUCUGAAAAUUUUUAAAAUGAAUAAUAUCACUUAAAUAAAAUCGGAUGAGAUAGAGAUAAGCUCUACAGAAGUAGAUGGAGAACUGUAUGGUUAUGGUGGAACUCCUACAAUAACUAAACUUCUAAUAAUAUGAAAAUGCAUAUAAUGAUAAAAAUUGCAUCCACAGCCCCAAGCCACCUAAAUCGUAACUUUAACUCGAAUUGUAAAACUUACAGUUCCUUUAGACUUGGUAGGUUUGCUAGAUAAGAAGGCAGUGGACCAGUUAAUUCAUUGUUCUCGAGGUGGCUGCAUGAAAUAAAAAAAGCAUUUUGUCAAAUUCAUGUGAAAUCUAAAGUGCAAAAUGUACAAGGCAUUAUCCCUUUACAUCUUAUUCAGAUUUACACUUCGACUAAAAUCAGGUAUUAGUCCAGUAAGUGAAUUCCCAUCAAGAUGUCUGCAGUAAAAAGAAAUCAUUCAAUAUAAUAUAAAGUAGUUUAAGCCAAACAGACAAUCCACAAUGAUCAUCUGAGAAAAUUUAUCCACUAAAUCUUACAUUUCAACCAAGCCUGCUAACUUCGACAAUUCUGUUGGAAUAUCUCCUGUCAAGUUCUUUCCAGACAAGAAACUGCAAAAAAGGUACAUCUUUACAAUCUUCAACAGUUUGGAAUACAAGAUAUGAAAGGAAAAUUGAUUUUAAUACAUGGAAAUUAUCCUCGGUUGUGGAUCUGUACUACACUGCACCCAAGACCAUGAUGCUGGUAGACAUGGAUCACCACCUUCUUGUGCCCAAUCAGACAGCGGGUAGUGUGAAACCAAACUGGCCAUGACAAUUGCUGCAACUCAUUAAACAAAUACAUCAUAAACUCAUAAUUAUAUUUUUAUGUAAGUUACAAUAUAUCCAAAUAGAUGAGUAGGAGAGAUUACCAUCUUGAGAUCCAUAAUUUAUCUGCAGGUACACAUAGAUCUCCAGCGCAUUCAAGAUUGGCCCUCUGGAUGAAUCAUUUGUUUUCUUAAACCCAAAGGAAAAGACAAACGGAAGGGAAACAUUGGUGUACCCAGGUUCGUAGAGCCGAUACUUCCCUUGAGCAUUCUCUUGAACAUUGACAGUGGGUUUACUAUAUGCUGGCAUGCCUGGGACUACUAGCUUAAAUUUUCUGGUCUCAUUUGGACUGAGUUCUUCAAUUUCUGCAAAAUAUGAAAAUGCCCAACCAUAUCCUGGAAAACCAUCUAAGUCAAGACGGUAAGUCAAGGAUCCAUUUUGACCCACCACAGCUGUCUGCAUCACUUUUUCAGGCGGCAUUUCAAAAGUACUAACGUCUAUCGGCAUUGUAGUUGAUACUCUUUCAGUUCCAGGAGCAACAUCGACAAGGUAAUUUGCUCUCCUUUUAGCAUCUGAUUCCCAUAUUCUAUCAAAUGGGUCAUCGGGAAACCUAUAAUGAUAAAAGUUUCACUAAACAAGGUUUAGAAGGCAAGUCUGCUUUUCCAGAUUUUGAAGACAAAAAUAUAUGGAACAUCAGGUUUUGCAAACAAAAAUGCACGUAUAGAAAAGGGAAUUCAGCAGAAAAGGAGUAUAUAUAUGUAUAUACAUAUAUAUACAUACUUAUAUACACAAAUAUUUGAAUUUUCUCCUCUUUACUCUACUGUGGCAAAUGUUCACACUUUCAGAUUUUACAUUAAAUGUAUAUAAGCUUUACCUAAAUGGUAUGCCAGACCUUACAUUUCUUGUUUCUGAUUAUAUAGGCUCAACAUAUAUCAUGAGAAUUCAUAAUACAAUAGUGCUAGGUGAUUUUGGUGUCUUAACAUAUUUAAUUGGUCAAGCAAUUUUUAUGCUAUCUUUUUGUCAUACAAAAGAGCAAAAUCUAUGAAUUAAAGUGGUUUUGAAGGAAAUCUCCUAAUUUGGUUGCUAUCAAAAGUGGAAAAAGUUGGGCAUGGACAGAAAUGGGUUCACAGGAGUAUUAGAAGUAUGUCAAUAUCACAUUGCUUUAAAGGCAUUGGAUUGGCUUCAAAUGAUCUCAACAAAAAGUAUUAGUUCCAAUUAACAAAAGGCAAAAGCCGGACAAGAACCAGCUAUGUUCUGGUUAGCCACCAAUUGAAAAUGAUUUUUGAAUUGGUUUUGGCUUGAACCUAGCUGAAGCUGAUUGGAAACUGACUAAAGCUGAAAUCAAUGGAAAUACAUUACUUCUGGCAGUCAUUGGAUAUAGUUAAGUUUGAUAGAACCUCGAAGGUUCUCUUGACCCAUAGCCUGAAAAGACCAUCGCUGCCAUGGUCUCCAUAAGGCCAACUGUUCAACCUACCCUUGCAGAACAUCAUAAGAAAAUCAGUGAGACGAUAAAAUUCACAGGUCUCCCAAGAUGUCAUCACCAAAGUAAUGGAAUGUUUAGAAUAUGUGUCGCGUAAUGCCAUAAAAAGACCAAAAUCAUUGAUAGCCUACAAACCUUUAGUGUCCUAUUGCUUCUUGUAUGCUUCUCUGCAAGUACACUUGUAUAUUCUUGUUCAGAAAGUUAAGUUGAAUUGCCAACCCAUUUAGCGGCACAACCUAAACUAGUAAAUACACUCCACCUUCUCCUUGUAUAUGGACUAACUAAUGAUAACUAAAUGCACUCGAUAGACUGAAUACAAAAUAAUGUGGAAAUUUUAAAUUUAAAACCAAUAUUGUCCUUUAUUGAGUUAUUUACCAUCUUAGAAUCCAACACUACCCAUUCUUGAAGUGAACAACACUCAGCAUUUGAGGAUGUACCCACAGUGUAAGGCCUUCAAAAGCUUGAUAAUAUUGAUAUGCAAGUCAAGAAAUGCAUGACUAGCAUGGAAGAUAUCUUCUUGAGCUUUCAGGUCGAUUCAUUUAUUUAACAAUCAUUUUUUUAUAUAUUUAUAUGGGGCAUUGUUGUGUGUGAAUAAACCACUACGAAAUUAGGUUGCGAUACUAUAUCUGAUCCUGCAUCCAACUAGAAAAUAAAUAUGAACAUAUCACAAAAUAGAAUCAUUGCCUUAGGACUUAUGAACAAAUCACUAACAAAAAGAAACAUAUGUUCUAGUACCUUACUGAAUCGGUACUCUCUGCGCCAAAAUUUAUUCUCGCCGACAGUUUGAGAAAGAAUUGAGUUUCGUAUAUUGUAUAAUAUAGUGAUCCAUUAAAUUGACGAAGUUCGAGUGUGGAGAUAAAUGGUUGCCCAGUACUAGCAUUAGAUAAGCAAACACUAACUGUGGGAGAAGAGGUCAAUAAAACCAGCUCUUGAACUUCUAUGGUUGCUGCAUCUGAUAUCACAAUGGUGGACCAAUACGUUGCCCCAAGAAAGAUAUCGAACUUUGGGUAAACAUUACUUCUAUCAAAGUUCCCAUACAAGAAAGUUGCUCUUACUAGGUAGCGGGUCCUCGACUUGACACUCAAUGUAUAACAGUACUUACUGCUAUCUGCCGGAAAAUAUCGCACUUUCAUAUAUUGCUUCCGGCUCUCACCAGGGAUGGAUAUGCUGGCAGUUUGUCCAUGUAUAAUGUUACUGUCCGGAGUCCACUCAAGUCCAAUAUCAUCUGUAUAUUCAUCUGUACCCCCACAGUCCAAACUUAUAAAACCUGCAUCAGAAAAAUUAGGUAAGUAGGAAAGAUUAAUCUUCACAUCUAAAACCAUAAGCAAAUUGUUCCUUACAGGGACAACAAUUUUAAUGAGACAAUAAGUUUUGUAGGAUGAACUGCAAGAGAAGUUAUCCGUCGUGUUUGACCCUUCUUAGAACAUCAUCUUGGCAAGCAAUAACAAGCUAGAGCAUGCAGAAACCUAUGCUAUCUCUUCGUUCUGGCCCUUACAAUCAACAUAGAUAACACCAGACUUAGAUGACAAAAAAAAUUGUUAUUCACAAAAGCAAAUCAAAAUCCCUUAAUUGCACAUUCAAAUUUCUUUGCUCUGGUUUAGUACAAUCAACAUGAUCUUGAUAGUUGAGAUCAAUAGUAAGCUAAAAAUUCUUUUUUUUUUCCCAACAUCUAAUCUGCAAAUCUCACCAGUAUCUUUUAAGAUACAUAAAGUUCACAAUACCCUAUCUUAUGCAAAUUAAAAUAGCGUGCCUAAUGCAUCAAGACCAAAAGUUCUAACCUUUUAUGAGAGAGAAAAUAUUAAGGUGGAAAACAACAAAUCUUUCACUUAAAUCAGAAGCGAAUGGAGCUGUUUUGCGCACAUAUUUACACACAAUCAUAAGGAUCUCUUUUCAUCCGUCCAUAAAGGAGAUCACAAACAAAAGAGCACAGAAGUAAGAAAUCAUCACCGACGGGCUCACCAAGACCUAAACAGAGACGAGCACCAAGAAGUUACCAGGCAUCUGAGCCGCCGACGAUGAGAGGAAGAGGACGAGAAGGAAGACGACGAGGAGAAGUGGCGCGGCCAUCUCUGCUCCCGAGCGGAAGAGAGUGACGAACUCACCCUCACCCUUUCUAUAUGCAUGCUUUUCCGGAGUGGAAGAGGAGGCGGGUGGUGGCAAUUAUGGCUAUCUCUCCACCAUCAUCAUCGCUUUCGAACCUGUGCGUGGCAGAGGGCAGAGGCUUUGGCGCAUUCGAGUGGCCAGUGGGGCGGAAAGGGAAAGGUGUGUGAAGCGUAGACGGUGGAAGGAAAGAGACACGGCGUGGGAUACGCCACCUGGCGACUGCCACCGGGUCCCACCAACUGCCACAUGGACCGAUGUCCUUCCGACACACUGGCGGCGGCUAAACCGCAUUAGAUUCCGGCAGUGCCAAUGUGGCUUUUCGGCUAAUUUUUCAGAAUAUACGAUGAGGAAUUCGGUAGAUUGCCGACAACAAUUAUGUGGCGGCUCUGUGCCAUCGAGAACUUGAAUUAUUGUUCGUGGAGGACAUGGCCAUACAGUCGAAAAGAAAAAGGUAGAAGAAGCGUGAGCGCUUCAUAAAGUCGGAGAGAGAGAGAGGCUCCACAAAAGGUUGACGACGAUGAUGAUGCUUCUGAGUGAAGCCAUGGAAAAGCCAUCAACUCUGAGUUAGACUGUCUUCCCAGUGGAGCACUUUGUCCUCUCUCUGGUGCGUUGUGAUGUCCCCAAAAAAGGUGAUACCUUUAGUGUCGUCCCUCGCACACCAACACACCCACUCACUCGACUAAACAUACUUACAAGGAAGUCUUCUACUGUACAACACACAGCUCGAACACAAAUCAGCAGCGACAAGAGGAAAGCAAAUCUUGCUUUCCCUUACAUGCUACCUGAUGGUGACAAACUUGUUGGUGCCAUGCCGCGCCCAGUGAUCCUUCAAGUCUACCGCGUACGACAGGUCGAAACCUUCGGCUGAGAGUCGCUGCAGCAGCUUCCCGUAUGCGCCAAUGCUCAUCUUUCUUCCAGCCAGGCGAGCGCCGGGCCGGGUGGGGCUCAUCGGAAGAGGGUACUCGGAAAUGGUUGUGGUGCAGCAGGAGGAUUGCCAUCCGCCUGACCCCCAUCUGUAGCAUUGGCGUGGCACGCCAGUACAUGAGCAAACGGGCACAGGAACGCUCGAGAUAUCAAGCAUCGUUCCCUGCUCUGCAACGCUGUCUUGAUUCUUCUUCUCGCGUUUUCCUGUGGACGAAGAGCCUCCUUUCUUCUUCGUGGGGUUGGGGAGCUGUUUCUUUGGCUCUUUCGGUCGCAAUACCUUGGCGGCGACACGACCAGAUUUCUUGGUAGAAGAAUGCUGCUUACGGAGCUUCGGAAUAGGCGGAGGGGUAGUGGCCACUUUGUCGUCUGUUUCCUCCUCAGCGAUCGGCAUGGUUUGGAUGUCGAUCAUUUCUGAACUCACUGGAUUUGCAGCAGGGUGGUCGACACAUUUUGACUGGGAGACCAAGCUUCUCUGCGGAAACCAUGAGAAGUCCAUCGUGGGUGGAUGAGAGCUGUGUGAACCAGUUGCAGGAUAGGAGCUAAUCCUAAGAGAGGUCUCCUGGUGUGCAGGAACAGCACCAGACACCGACUUCAGCAUCUUCCCUGCUUGUUUUGACUGAUCACAGAAGUCCCAAUUCCUUGUCCCCAACCUUCCCCUUCCAUCCAUGCUACUACCGAGGGUUUGAAGAGUUGAAGAACUCCAGGUUCAGUCCAUCAAAGAUUUUUGUUGCUUAUGCUCCCUAACUCCCUAAAUAUGUGCUGAAGGACUGUGAAAUCUACCUCUGGAGAUGUAACACCAACAUCAUUCAAGGAUAAAUUGCUGCGAGAAGAGAAACAUUUGAAGCCAGAAAAGAGACAAAAUGCAUUUAUAUCAAUGAUAACAGCUAUGGAUGCAACAAAUGAAAGUCCGGAUGAGCAGAACAUCGAUUAAGAUCAUCACAUCCACAAUGUUCUCACAAAAGAGAAAUCAAAAUUUUGAAGAACUAAAAUCUAAGAUAAGCUUUUAAUGGAAUCAAAGAACAAUAUUUAAGAGACUAAGUAAAUAUGGUUCCCAAAUGAAUGUUGGGUCAUAGAUUUUGUCUAAAGAUUUAUACUUUUUCAAAGAAGAAAUUAGAAAAUAAGUACAGAAACGAUGGGAAUGGGAAGAUGGAAAGAUCAACAUCGAGGAACAGAUAAAAGUUUGAGCUGAUGAGGACAUUUCAGCAACGGAAGAAAGAGGCUUAAGCAGCAUACUAACAAGGAAAAAGGAAAAAAAAUGAUUUUUUUGUUGACAGAGCAAAAUAUAAACAGAGAUCUAUGAUCAGAGACUAACUGAUUGUGAGAUCCUUCCAUCAUCCCAGAGAUCCUGAAGAAAACAAACAUUGAUAGAGGAUACUAGAAAAGCAAGAAACAGAAAGAGGAGGCUGAGAGCAGUAUGCAACAGAUCAUAGAAGAAACAAGAAGCAGAAGAAGAAGAAGAUCUUACGGAAGAGAGAAUUCCUUUACGCCUCCUACUAUCGUUCAUCUAAAAUCAAACGAAAAAUUUAGCACCGCUGAUGAUAGAGGCGGAGAGCAGUUGAGAAAGGUAGGGGGGGAGGCAAAGGAAAGGGCAGGUGGUGUCCUUUUGUCAAGCUUUUAAUGAGCACCGCACCAAUCAAGAGAGCGAAAUGAUACGUUUACCCCUCAACUGUGUCGGAAACUACAAAAUCCAUCUCGCUGUGCUGAAACUGUUAUCUCUUUGUGGGAGAGACAUGCCUUUUUGACUCUCGAGUGUGGGCCCUACCCAUUGUGGGUCCACUCGGCGCAGACGAUGGGGCGCGUCUCAGGCCUCGCAUCCUGCCGUGGUUUUCACUUGGGUGAGGAGAUCCCCUGUCUCCGCUAGGCCACAAAACACGAUUCUGAGCCACGGUAUGGCCUGAUGGCGUGGGCCCGCCCAGGGAUACCAUUGAAACGUAGGCUCGCGUGUCUCCUUUCUUCCUUUCCUGUUCAGGGCGAGACAGGUGAGUCCGUUGGGAGCCACCCCGAGAUAGACGAGACAGCCGACCGAUUCCUCUCCGCCGUCGUUGCGGUCGAUCAUUGCCGUCUUCGCCCCUCCCAUCUUCAUCCUCUUCCCCGUUAGUUGAGGUGUGACUAUCAAUUACGAUGGUGUUAGAAGAAGAAUAGGAUGGAAUUGACAGAAAAGGAUAUAAUUACAACGACGAAUGAGAGGUGAAGGCAGAAGGGUGGGAGCGCCGUUUGAUGAUAUAGAGGUCAAAGAUAAUCUCGUUAAAAAAACAUAAGGGACUAAAAAUUUAGGAUAUUUUUAAAACCUAAAUAUUUUGGUUUUCAUUUCCUUUUUAUUUUCCAAAGAACAUAUGGAUUCCAAAGUUUGAGAGAGAGGUAGCAACAUAUGGAUUCCAAAGAAUCAGACACCAAAGAACACUGUCUUUUACAUUUGAACUUUGGAAGUGUACCUCAAACUCAGAACAGUGUACUUAAAAGAAUGCAUUACCCAACUAUAAACAGCAAGCUUUGCCUUACCGCUGGAACAGAGCAAAGCAGCGAGCCAAAAAUUCCAGUCAGUGCAUAAGCAAUGGCGCAGAAGGGAAGAGCCUCCGGUUCCUUCGCUGACAGUGCUGCCGUCCCCAAUCCAUGAGCACUGAUACAGACAAAGAUAUAAGCAAUCAUCUUACACACGGCUAAACAUCUACUGUUUCUUCUGAGCCAAAGACAGUGCAGUGGAAAAGUGAACCCUGUUCCCAAGUAGCCUAGUAAUGGAGUUUGAUCACAACCUAAAGUUGAUCUUUGUGAAGCCUUUUAACUAUUUUUAUUUUUCCAAUCUAUGUCGAAGAAGAAAAAAAGUUUCCAUGCAUGCAGAAGAAAAUCCUCAGAAGGAGAAUUUUCAUGAAUUGUGGGAUUCAAUGAUGGCACUUGCUGGAAACAUGGUGAAGAAACUAUAUACACAACUAGCACGAUGCACAAGAGAAAGGUAGGAGCUAAGUGAAAGUAAUGGAUGAUUAAUUACAGGGAACAUCAGUCGAACGCACUCGAGAAAAUUGAUAGAGAAGUUUCUUUGAAAGAUAGUCACAUGCCUUCUGAUCCUUUAUUCAAUUCCAAAUAUGCAUAGGCUUUAGAGCAAUGGUGACUGAAUUUCCACUUUAAGAAUUCUAAAAUAAGCUCAGCAUUAAUUUAUAUCUCCUACAUGAAUCAUAAGAUAGUGAACUUUGUUCAAUAAUGAUUUCUUGUUCGAUAUAAUCAUGAAUACUUAAGACAUAUAGCGGUUGGUUUCCAUAGAGUGCUAGGGUUCGGAUCCUAUUGAGAGGUCCACUAGAGAUUAGAAAUUUUUGGAAAAAAAAAUAAGAUGUUUCUUUUGUCCCUUACAAGCAAUAAAAAAAAAGGUUAAUAUAUUCAAGAUAAUUAUGUAUUUACAAAUAUAUAAUCUCAAUUCAUCCUAUUUCAUUAGAUCCGGGUUGUGAUAUGGAUCCAAAGGAUGAACCGGAUAUGGACAUUUCCAAUAAGAUUUCAUUCUUAAACAAAAAUCUAUUUUUUGAUUUAUUUCAUCUAUUUCAUGAUCAAAAUAAAAAGGGAUACACGUUACACCAUGACUUUGAACCAAAACAGAGAUUUCAAGAACAGGUAAAUGCUCAAUAUCCAAGUAGGCUUAUAAAUUUGAUCAUGAUCAAGUGCUUUUUGGAUUGUCUCAUGUCUUUUGAUUGGUGUUUAUCCCCCCAACAUCUCGAUUUUUUUUACAUACAAAGAAUUUACUUGUUAGUUGUUACUAAUAAAGUCUAGCCUCUGUUCUUCCUUAGAUCUCUUAUUUCACUCCCAUAGUGACCAAGAAAAGAAAAGGUAAUACUCUUUAUCUUGUCUGCAUUUAUGGUCCAACUAGUUAGAAAGCUGUAUAAUAUUAUUUACUGAAAGAUGGUUGAACUCUUUUUUUGUUGUUACAAUCAGUUGGUCAUUGAUUCUUGCUAUUGACAUUAAGAUCUAAACAUGCACAACAUCUUAAUAAUACCUUAAAGGCUUAAACAAACUCUAAU
rnacentral:lncRNA from 1 species